rnacentral:rRNA from 1 species
AUGUCCUCUUUGGUUGCCAUUUGUUUUUUUUUUUUGGUGAGAAACUCUUUGAUUGCCAUUCGUGUGCUUGGCAAAUCUGGUGAACGGCUACUCAAGUUUGUGGUCUCAUUUUCCUUAAAACAUAAUGAUCCAAAUUUGCAUGCUAUUGCUUGUUUGAUCAUCAUUGCAGUUUAUUUGUAUUACAUAGUCCUCUCAAAUCUCAGAUGUAUUCCUCCCAAAAUAGUUGUUGUACAGUUUGAAUGGACUGAAAUACUAAUAUGGCAAGAAAAUAGGUUAAAAUAUAGUACAGUAUCAUGUAUUGCACAUGCAUGUGACACGUAUAGACAUGGUCUAUUGUAUGUUAUUCUGAUUGUGAGUUGUUGUGGAACUGUGUUAUUCGGCUCCCACGCCGGGAGCAAUCUCCGCGUUGACGACAAAGGCGGUGAGGCCGAGGGUGACCUGCAAAACCAUUGGAGUGACGAGCUGUUCGUCGGGGGUGGCGAGUUGUGGGCCUCUUCAAGACCAAGGGCUUUGAGCUCCGCCUCCAUUGUGGCGUCCUUCUUGUUCAACCCUGUCACUGAAGCUUCUCCUUGGAUGCUUUAG